rnacentral:misc_RNA from 1 species
UGCAACAUUACUUGGUGAUCCU